GAUGAACGCUGGCGGCGUGCCUAACACAUGCAAGUCGAACGGGGUUAUUUAGGAAAUUUCCUUCGGGGAAUGGAAUCUUUAACCUAGUGGCGGACGGGUGAGUAACGCGUGAGCAAUCUGCCUUCGGAUGGGGGAUAACAGCCGGAAACGGCUGCUAAUACCGCAUAACACAUGGGAUCCGCAUGUUUCCCAUGUCAAAGAUUUAUCGUCCGGAGAUGAGCUCGCGUCUGAUUAGCUGGUUGGCGGGGUAACGGCCCACCAAGGCGACGAUCAGUAGCCGGACUGAGAGGUUGAACGGCCACAUUGGGACUGAGACACGGCCCAG
rnacentral:rRNA from 1 species